CCGUGAGACAGGUGCUGCAUGGCUGUCGUCAGCUCGUGUUGUGAAAUGUUGGGUUAAGUCCCGCAACGAGCGCAACCCUUAUCCUUUGUUGCCAGCGGUCCGGCCGGGAACUCAAAGGAGACUGCCAGUGAUAAACUGGAGGAAGGUGGGGAUGACGUCAAGUCAUCAUGGCCCUUACGACCAGGGCUACACACGUGCUACAAUGGCGCAUACAAAGAGAAGCGACCUCGCGAGAGCAAGCGGACCUCAUAAAGUGCGUCGUAGUCCGGAUUGGAGUCUGCAACUCGACUCCAUGAAGUCGGAAUCGCUAGUAAUCGUGGAUCAGAAUGCCACGGUGAAUACGUUCCCGGGCCUUGUACACACCGCCCGUCACACCAUGGGAGUGGGUUGCAAAAGAAGUAGGUAGCUUAACCUUCGGGAGGGCGCUUACCACUUUGUGAUUCAUGACUGGGGUGAAGUCGUAACAAGGUAACCGUAGGGGAACCUGCGGUUGGAUCACCUCCUUACCUUAAAGAAGC
rnacentral:rRNA from 1 species